UUUGCCUCCUUCAUUCCAUCAAUGAAAUGCCUCUGACAUGAACAUGCUAGCGUGACUACUAGAGAGAAUACUUGAACAUGGAACAGCAAGCAGGGAUGAGCCCACAUUUCCAUGAUGUGAGAGUGUGUGAAUGUCACUGCUGUGUGCAGGAGCGGCUGUGGGAUGCAGCUGGGGAAGAGGCACAGUGUUGUAUGGAUUCCAGUGACUGAGUGGGGACAUGUGAUCACAUGCUGACCCCUGUCCCCUGCAUUUCAUGUGCUUUCCCUUCUUCUCACUUUCCUAUCUAUUCCACAUGCUGUCGGAUCCCCUGACUCUCCUUCUAGUGGAAUGUCAGAGAGAAUGUGGACUCUGAGUCCCUAAAACAGGAGCUGAUAGAGAAGAACCAAGAAUGAUGUCCAGUGUUGUAUACAAUUUCCUGGAACAAGAGUGAAGAGAUCAGGAUCCCGUCAUUGGGGACAUUUCAGGAAGGGACAUUUGAGCUGAGUCCUGAAGGUCAAGAGGAAACCAAGCCUGGUGGCCAUUAAAUGCAUCUUGCAGAAAUCCAGGAGAACGACCAGCAUGGAUUGGCCCAGCACUGGAGCAGUCUGCAGGGGACAGAGCCGGCUCAGCAUAGGGUUUUUGGAGGGCCCUGGGCAGAAGGAGCUGUGACUAAACUUCUCCCUGAAUCCCGCUGUUGAAGCAUUUCCCCUCUGGAAGCUAUGGGCUGAGUACUGGGCAAUUUCAUGCAGCCUCCCCCUUUCCCUCUCCUGUGGAUUCCCUGCUUGGCUAAUUUGGAGGUUAAAGCCCUGAAUCUGCUUUCAGUUCAAGGGGCUUUAUUUGGAGAGAACAGAAAGAAUGAUGUUGUAAAGGUACUUUCUUCUCAUGACCUCCACUAAAUAUUCAGGAGUGGAGACAUCAUAGGACUGCAGAUUGUAAGAUUUAUUUGAGACUUGUUUGCCACUCCUUAGCCAUCUCUCAUGUGGUAGAUUUAAGAAUUAAUGCUGUGACCACCCAAUUAACUUGAUUCACCUGCUUUAGGGAUAUUCUACAUCUGACACUGACUCACUCUCCUAUGGAAACAGCUGGGAAUGGUCAUUUAUUUUUGCUAUUUUUUCACUUCUAAAUCCAAGUGUUUUCUUGUAAGUAAAAAUGGAAAAUACAGGGAAGGUGAAAAUCAUUAGAAACUUAAAGGAGUAUUGAUCACAGACAAGCACUAUUUCCAAUUCAAUGUAUAUAUUUUCAGAUAUUUCACUAUGCAAAUAUAACUGUAUUUGAGAACAUAAAUAAUACCUACAGCAUUGUGAGCUACUUUUUUAUAAUAAAUAUUAUAUUAUGAAAGUCAAUGCAUGCCAUACAAUAUGAAUGCACAAAAUAAUAAAAAU